AAACGGGUGCGGAACACGUACGCAACCUUCCUUUAAGCGGGGAAUAGCCCAGAGAAAUUUGGAUUAAUACCCCAUAAGAAUGUGGAAAGGCAUCUUUCAGCAUUUAAAGAUUUAUCACUUAAAGAUGGGCGUGCGUCUGAUUAGGUAGUUGGUGAGGUAACGGCUCACCAAGCCGACGAUCAGUAACUGGCGUGAGAGCGCGACCAGUCACACGGGCACUGAGACACGGGCCCGACUCCUACGGGAGGCAGCAGUAAGGAAUAUUGGUCAAUGGACGGAAGUCUGAACCAGCCAUGCCGCGUGGAGGAUGAAGGCCCUCUGGGUUGUAAACUUCUUUUAUCUGGGACGAAACACUUCCUUUCUAGGGAGCUUGACGGUACCAGGUGAAUAAGCACCGGCUAACUCCGUGCCAGCAGCCGCGGUAAUACGGAGGGUGCAAGCGUUAUCCGGAUUCACUGGGUUUAAAGGGUGCGUAGGCGGACAUGUAAGUCCGUGGUGAAAUCUCCGAGCUUAACUCGGAAACUGCCAUGGAUACUAUAUGUCUUGAAUGUUGUGGAGGUUAGCGGAAUAUGUCAUGUAGCGGUGAAAUGCAUAGAUAUGA
rnacentral:rRNA from 1 species